CCCACACAGAGUCUUCACUGUGUGAUAAGCAAACUCUCCCUGAGCUCAGGCCAAGUUCCACAUUAGUGGUGAAGUCAUGGGAGGGAGGGAAAGCUGAGUCCUGGAUGAGCAACAUUCACGGAAGGGGGCAUUCAACAGCACUUAUCAUCUACCCAUACCUACAGGCAGCAGGGCCUCCCUAUUUCACUCCAGGGCUCUUGUGAGGAUGAAGCAAGAGUAUGGAUGCAUAGUGUUUCAUAAUCAUAAAGCAAUAUGAGACAUUAGGAGAACCUUACACCUAUGAGAUUAUAAGACCACACACACACUAAAGCUAAAAGUUACUGGAGCUCCCAUCUACUACAGACCGGUCAGAAAUGAAGAUGGAGCGUGUUGAAAAACUUGGUAAGUCACCAUGAAGAUUGUACUCAAUUCACAGAAUGUCAAAUUCCCUACAACUCUUCCCUGAUACAGCAACUGCAAAAAGUGAAGUUUGCCUGCAUCACUAUCAACAGUGUGGGACAGAGUGAGGUGACUGGGAACAGUCAGGCCAGUUAGUUACACAAGUCCUUGUAGGCCUGGAGCCAAAGGCUUGUUUGCCUUCCUGUGUGGUGGUGUGCAAAUGUCCAGGACCCUGUUUAACCUUCUCUCAUCUCAGGCCUGACUGGCCAAAUAAACAUUGCAGAAUCUCAGUUCACUGCCGUGAGGAUAAAGGGAGGAGAGAUCCUGACACCCAGAUCAGAGGAAUACUUAGGCCCAGGUCCUCAUCCUAGAGAUUUACCUGAAACCUCUGAAUCACAGAAUUUCAGAGUUGGAAGGGACCUUUGUUACUGUUCAAUUGUUCCAGCCAUG